AGGGUUUGAUCCUGGCUCAGGAUGAACGCUGGCGGCGUGCUUAACACAUGCAAGUCGAACGAACCUUCGGGUUAGUGGCGGACGGGUGAGUAACGCGUGAGAAUCUGCCCUCAGGAGGGGGAUAACGGUUGGAAACGACCGCUAAUACCCCAUAUGCCUACUGGUGAAACGAAUUUCGCCUGAGGAUGAGCUCGCGUCUGAUUAGCUAGUUGGUGAGGUAAUGGCUCACCAAGGCUUCGAUCAGUAGCUGGUCUGAGAGGAUGAUCAGCCACACUGGGACUGAGACACGGCCCAGACUCCUACGGGAGGCAGCAGUGGGGAAUUUUCCGCAAUGGGCGAAAGCCUGACGGAGCAACGCCGCGUGAGGGACGAAGGCCUCUGGGCUGUAAACCUCUUUUCUCAAGGAAGAAGAUAUGACGGUACUUGAGGAAUAAGCCACGGCUAAUUCCGUGCCAGCAGCCGCGGUAAUACGGGAGUGGCAAGCGUUAUCCGGAAUUAUUGGGCGUAAAGCGUCCGCAGGCGGCUUUUCAAGUCUGCUGUUAAAGCGUGGAGCUUAACUCCAUCAUGGCAGUGGAAACUGAAAGGCUUGAGUAUGGUAGGGGCAGAGGGAAUUCCCGGUGUAGCGGUGAAAUGCGUAGAUAUCGGGAAGAACACCAGUGGCGAAGGCGCUCUGCUGGGCCAUUACUGACGCUCAUGGACGAAAGCCAGGGGAGCGAAAGGGAUUAGAUACCCCUGUAGUCCUGGCCGUAAACGAUGAACACUAGGUGUCGGGGGAAUCGACCCCUUCGGUGUCGUAGCUAACGCGUUAAGUGUUCCGCCUGGGGAGUACGCACGCAAGUGUGAAACUCAAAGGAAUUGACGGGGGCCCGCACAAGCGGUGGAGUAUGUGGUUUAAUUCGAUGCAACGCGAAGAACCUUACCAGGGUUUGACAUCCUGCGAACCUCUUAGAAAUUUGAGGGUGCCUUCGGGAAUGCAGUGACAGGUGGUGCAUGGCUGUCGUCAGCUCGUGUCGUGAGAUGUUGGGUUAAGUCCCGCAACGAGCGCAACCCACGUUUUUAGUUGCCAGCAUUUAGUUGGGCACUCUAGAAAGACCGCCGGUGAUAAACCGGAGGAAGGUGUGGAUGACGUCAAGUCAUCAUGCCCCUUACACCCUGGGCUACACACGUACUACAAUGCUACGGACAAAGGGCAGCAAACUCGCGAGAGCUAGCAAAUCCCAUAAACCGUGGCUCAGUUCAGAUCGUAGGCUGCAACUCGCCUACGUGAAGUAGGAAUCGCUAGUAAUCGCAGGUCAGCAUACUGCGGUGAAUACGUUCCCGGGCCUUGUACACACCGCCCGUCACACCAUGGAAGUUGGCCAUGCCCGAAGUCGUUACUCCAACCCUUGUGGAGGAGGACGCCGAAGGUGGGGCUAAUGACUGGGGUGAAGUCGUAACAAGGUAGCCGUA
rnacentral:rRNA from 1 species